CGUAGGGUGCGAGCGUUGUCAGGAAUUAUUGGGCGUAAAGAGCUUGUAGGCGGUUUGUUGCGUCUGCUGUGAAAAUUCAGGGGCUUAACCCUGGACGUGCAGUGGGUACGGGCAGACUAGAGUAUAGUAGGGGAGACUGGAAUUCCUGGUGUAGCGGUGGAAUGCGCAGAUAUCAGGAGGAACACCGAUGGCGAAGGCAGGUCUCUGGGCCAUUACUGACGCUGAGAAGCGAAAGCAUGGGGGAGCGAACAGGAUU
rnacentral:rRNA from 1 species